UACGUAGGUGGCAAGCGUUGUCCGGAUUUACUGGGCGUAAAGAGCGCGCAGGCGGCUGGUCAAGUCCGAUGUGAAAGCUCCCGGCUUAACUGGGAAACGGCAUCGGAAACUGAUCGGCUUGAAGGUGGGAGAGGGUAGUGGAAUUCCCGGUGUAGUGGUGAAAUGCGUAGAUAUCGGGAGGAACACCAGUGGCGAAGGCGACUACCUGGCCCACUCUUGACGCUGAGGCGCGAAAGCUAGGGGAGCAAACAGG
rnacentral:rRNA from 1 species